UCGAGAAUAUUUGGCAAUGGGCGAAAGCCUGACCAUGCGACGCCGCGUGGUUGAUGAAGUCCUUCGGGACGUAAAGACCUUUUAUGUGGGAGGAAGUAAUUGACGUUACCACAUGAAUAAGGGGCUCCUAACUCUGUGCCAGCAGGAGCGGUAAUACAGAGGCCCCAAGCAUUAUCCGGAAUCACUGGGCGUAAAGGGUGUGCAGGCGGCUAUGUUAGUCCUUCGUGAAAGCUUUCGGGCUCAACCCGGAAAACGCGGUGGAAACGGCAUAGCUCAGAGGACGCGAGAGGUAGAGGGAACUCAUGGUGUAGGGGUGAAAUCCGUUGAUAUCAUGGGGAACACCAAAUGCGAAGGCACUCUACUGGCGCGCUCCUGACGCUCAUACACGAAAGCGUGGGAAUCGAACGGGAUUAGAUACCCCCGUAGUCC
rnacentral:rRNA from 1 species